UGGGGCGUCGCCAAGUGGUAAGGCAGCGGAUUUUGAUUCCGCCAUGCGGAGGUUCGAAUCCUCCCGCCCCAGCCA
rnacentral:tRNA from 10 species